UACGUAGGGUGCAAGCGUUUGUCCGGAAUUAUUGGGCGUAAAGAGCUCGUAGGCGGUCCGUCACGGUCGGCUGUGAAAACCCGAGGCUCAACCUCGGGCCUGCAGUCGAUACGGGCAGACUAGAGUGCGGUAGGGGAGACUGGAAUUCCUGGUGUAGCGGUGAAAUGCGCAGAUAUCAGGAGGAACACCGGUGGCGAAGGCGGGUCUCUGGGCCGUAACUGACGC
rnacentral:rRNA from 1 species